CCAAGAAGCUCAAAGCACUGGAAGCCAUGAAAAAUAAGCAGAAAUCUGUAACUGCCAAGGACAGCGCAAAGACUACCUUCACCUCCAUCACUACCAAUACCAUCAAUACCAGCUCUGACAAAACAGGGGGAAAAAAAGGUGCAAUGAAGCCCUGUGGUUUAUUCUUACCAUUCUGCACAAGAGACGGUACUGCAGGGACACCAGCAAUAUCAACGACGACAACUGUGGAAAUCCGCAAAAGCAGUGUUAUGACAACUGAGAUCACCUCUAAAGUGGAAAAAAGCCCAACGACAGCCACUGGCAAUAGCUCAUGUCCUUCUACUGAGACCGAGGAAGAAAAGGCAAAACGGCUUCUUUACUGUUCGCUAUGCAAGGUUGCUGUCAACUCUGCCUCGCAGCUGGAGGCGCACAACAGUGGUGAGAUGCAGUGAUUUCUUUUUUGUUUCAACAGCUCUGCAAUUAUCUUCCUCUGAAUAGAUUAGAUCUUUUGCAGCAGGGGACAAAGGGGUGGAGGAAAACUGGCAAUUAUUACAUGGAAAUCAUUAACCAUUAAAAAAUAAAAAUGAC
rnacentral:sRNA from 1 species